UACGUAGGCAGCGAGCGUUGUUCGGAGUUACUGGGCGUAAAGGGUGUGUGGGCGGUUGCUUAAGUUUGGUGUGAAAUCUCCCGGCUCAACUGGGAGGGUGCGCCGAAUACUGAGUGACUCGAGUGCGGGAGAGGAGAGUGGAAUUCCUGGUGUAGCGGUGAAAUGCGUAGAUAUCAGGAGGAACACCGGUGGUGUAGACGGCUCUCUGGACCGUAACUGACGCUGAGACACGAAAGCGUGGGUAGCAAACAGG
rnacentral:rRNA from 1 species